rnacentral:rRNA from 1 species
AGUGAACGCUGGCGGUAGGCCUAACACAUGCAAGUCGAACGGCAGCACAGUAAGAGCUUGCUCUUACGGGUGGCGAGUGGCGGACGGGUGAGGAAUACAUCGGAAUCUACUUUUUCGUGGGGGAUAACGUAGGGAAACUUACGCUAAUACCGCAUACGACCUACGGGUGAAAGCAGGGGAUCUUCGGACCUUGCGCGAUUGAAUGAGCCGAUGUCGGAUUAGCUAGUUGGCGGGGUAAAGGCCCACCAAGGCGACGAUCCGUAGCUGGUCUGAGAGGAUGAUCAGCCACAAUGGAACAAAGACACGGUCCAGACUCCUACGGGAGGCAGCAGUGGGGAAUAUUGGACAAUGGGCGAAAGCCUGAUCCAGCCAUACCGCGUGGGUGAAGAAGGCCUUCGGGUUGUAAAGCCCUUUUGUUGGGAAAGAAAAGCAGCAGGUUAAGACCCCGCUGUUCUGACGGUACCCAAAGAAUAAGCACCGGCUAACUUC